GAAGGUAGAAUAAAGAGGAUAGACACGAAAGAGGGACGAAGCUUUGAAAUGAAGCCCCGGUAAACGGCAGCCGUAACUAUAACAGUCCUAAGGUAGCGAAAUUCCUUGUCGGGUAAGUUCCGACCUGCACGAAUGGUGUAACGAAUUGGGCAAUGUCUCAACCAUGACCCCAGCGAAAUUGAAGUGUCAGUGAAGAUGCCGGCUACCCGCAGCAGGACGAAAAGACCCCGUGAACCUUUACUACAACCUAGUAUUGGAUUCUGAUUCUAUACGUGUAGGAUAGGUGGGAGGCUUUGAAGCUUCAACGCUAGUUGAGGUGGAGCCAACCUUGAAAUACCACCCUUAUAUUGUUAGAGUUCUAAUCCCGACCCGUGAAUCCGGGCGGGACACAGUGCUAGGUGGGUAGUUUGACUGGGGCGGUCUCCUCCUAAAAAGUAACGGAGGAACUCAAAGGUCUUCUCAGCACGGUCGGUAAUCGUGCGUAGAGCGCAAAGGCAUAAGAAGGCUUAACUGUGAGGUCGACGGACCGAGCAGGUGCGAAAGCAGGACUUAGUGAUCUGGUGGUUCCGUAUGGAAGGGCCAUCACUCAACGGAUAAAAGGUACGCCGGGGAUAACAGGCUUAUCUCCCCCAAGAGUUCACAUCGACGGGGAGGUUUGGCACCUCGAUGUCGGCUCAUCACAUCCUGGGGCUGGAGAAGGUCCCAAGGGUUGGGCUGUUCGCCCAUUAAAGUGGUACGUGAGCUGGGUUUAGAACGUCGUGAGACAGUUCGGUCUCUAUCCGCCGUGGGCACAGGAGAUUUGAGGGAAUCUGCUUCUAGUACGAGAGGACCGAAGUGGACGAACCUCUGGUGUACCAGUUGUUCCGUCAGGGGCAGUGCUGGGUAGCUAUGUUCGGAAAGGAAAGCGCUGAAAGCAUAUAAGCGCGAAACCCACCUUAAGAUUAGAUUUCCCUACCUAUAUGGUAAUAAGGCUCGUUGGAGACUACAACGUCGAUAGGCUACAGGUGUAAGUGCAGUAAUGCAUUCAGCCGAGUAGUACUAAUUAGCCGAAUGGUUUUAUCAA
rnacentral:rRNA from 1 species